rnacentral:rRNA from 1 species
UACGUAGGGUGCGAGCGUUAAUCGGAAUUACUGGGCGUAAAGCGUGCGCAGGCGGUUUUGUAAGCCAGAUGUGAAAUCCCCGGGCUUAACCUGGGAAUGGCAUUUGGGACUGCAAGGCUGGAGUGCGGCAGAGGAGACUGGAAUUCCUGGUGUAGCAGUGAAAUGCGUAGAUAUCAGGAGGAACACCGAUGGCGGAGGCAGGUCUCUGGGCUGACACUGACGCUCAUGCACGAAAGCGUGGGGAGCAAACAGG